GCCAAAUGAUGUCAAAAAAGACUUCCAUGAGCACUCUGUGCAGAGAUGACACAGAUCUAUCACCCAAGACUGAUGGCU